rnacentral:rRNA from 1 species
UACGGGGGGGGCAAGCGUUGUUCGGAAUUACUGGGCGUAAAGGGCUCGUAGGCGGCCAACUAAGUCCGACGUGAAAUCCCCAGGCUUAACCUGGGAACUGCGUCGGAUACUGGAUGGCUUGAAUCCGGGAGAGGGAUGCGGAAUUCCAGGUGUAGCGGUGAAAUGCGUAGAUAUCGUAAGGAAGACCAGUGGCGAAGGCGGGUCUCUGGACAGUUCCUGACGCUGAGGCACGAAGGUCAGGGGAGCAAACGGGG